rnacentral:rRNA from 1 species
UACGUAGGGGGCUAGCGUUGUCCGGAUUUAUUGGGCGUAAAGAGCGUGUAGGCGGCCAGGUAGGUCUGCUGUGAAAACUCGAGGCUCAACCUCGAGACGUCGGCGGAAACCAUCUGGCUAGAGUCCGGAAGAGGAGAGUGGAAUUCCCGGUGUAGCGGUGAAAUGCGCAGAUAUCGGGAAGAACACCCGUGGCUAAGGCGGCUCUCUAGUACGGUACUGACGCUGAGACGCGAAAGCGUGGGGAGCGAACAGG